UCUUGAGGUGCUUGCACCUCUUGGUUAGCGGCGGACGGGUGAGUAACACGUGGGCAACCUGCCUGUAAGACUGGGAUAACUUCGGGAAACCGGAGCUAAUACCGGAUAAUCCUUUUCCUCUCAUGAGGAAAAGCUGAAAGUCGGUUUACGCUGACACUUACAGAUGGGCCCGCGGCGCAUUAGCUAGUUGGUGAGGUAACGGCUCACCAAGGCGACGAUGCGUAGCCGACCUGAGAGGGUGAUCGGCCACACUGGGACUGAGACACGGCCCAGACUCCUACGGGAGGCAGCAGUAGGGAAUCUUCCGCAAUGGACGAAAGUCUGACGGAGCAACGCCGCGUGAGCGAUGAAGGCCUUCGGGUCGUAAAGCUCUGUUGUUAGGGAAGAACAAGUACCGGAGUAACUGCCGGUACCUUGACGGUACCUAACCAGAAAGCCACGGCUAACUACGUGCCAGCAGCCGCGGUAAUACGUAGGUGGCAAGCGUUGUCCGGAAUUAUUGGGCGUAAAGCGCGCGCAGGCGGUCCUUUAAGUCUGAUGUGAAAGCCCACGGCUCAACCGUGGAGGGUCAUUGGAAACUGGGGGACUUGAGUACAGAAGAGGAAAGCGGAAUUCCACGUGUAGCGGUGAAAUGCGUAGAGAUGUGGAGGAACACCAGUGGCGAAGGCGGCUUUCUGGUCUGUAACUGACGCUGAGGCGCG
rnacentral:rRNA from 1 species